UUUGUUGGAUUCUCUCGCCGACUUAAGAUCUGGGUGCAGUUUAUUGUGGGCUCCUUGGUGUGGCGUUUGCGGCGGCGCUUGUGGAUGGAGAGUGACCUCGUGGCGUCCUUCUGAAGGUCCGAGGACCCCACAUUCCGAGUUCUCUCACAACCCGAAUCACCCACAACCCGAAUUACCCACAACCCGAAUUCUCUUCAACCCGGCUUACAUUAAACUGCUCCUGGAAGCGGGGCAACCGACGGCGAGACGACUGUUAAGUUUUUUUUAGUUAGCCAAUUCUCGAGCCACUUGUUCAGGAAUUAGGCAAAUUAUGUACUUUAUUUAUUUUAUUCUCCCCGGAGUAACUUUAGAUUAUAUUCAAAAUAAAUUGUUAAACUUGUUAUUUUUUUAUUUCUCUUCAUCCAUAAUUAAUUUAAGAUUCUGUAGGAUUAUUUUUUUACUCUCUCUCUUGUAGUCGCGUGUUAGGAAUUGUGGGUGACUCUCUAACCCAACAAACAAUUCGUUAACACGUAGCAAU
rnacentral:misc_RNA from 1 species